rnacentral:rRNA from 1 species
UACGUAGGGAGCGAGCGUUGUCCGAAGUUACUGGGCGUAAAGCGCGCGUAGGCGGGCUGUUAAGUGAGAGGUGAAAGGCUGGGGCUUAACCCCAUGCAGUGCCUCUCAUACUGGCGGUCUUGAGUGCGGCAGGGAGAAGUGGAAUGGCUGGUGUAGCGGUGAAAUGCUUAGAUAUCGUCAAGAACACCUAUAGCGAAGGCAGCUUACUAGGCUGUAACUGACGCUGAGGCACGAAAGUGUGGGGAUCAAACAGG